rnacentral:rRNA from 1 species
ACUAACCGGGANNCCCCUAGUAACGGCGAGUGAAGAGGGAAUAGCCCAGCACCGAAGCCUGCGGCAUGUUUGCUGCAAGGCAAUGUGGUGUUUAGGUCGAUUUAUGGACAUGCCACUCCAUUCGAAGUCCAGCACUGAGUAUGGUUCCUUUGGACUUGGCCCAGAGAGGGUGAAAGGCCCGUGCGGAUGGAGGUUUCAGGCAUGAUGGUGUGUCCCUGAGUCGACCUUGGAGUCGGGUUGUUUGAGAUUGCAGCCCUAAGCGGGUGGUAAACUCCAUCCAAGGCUAAAUACUAGCACGAGUCCGAUAGCGAACAAGUACCGUGAGGGAAAGUUGAAAAGUACUUUGAAGAGAGAGUAAACAGUACGUGAAACCGCCUAGAGGUAAACGGGUGGCGUCAAGCUGCAAGCCCGGAGGAUUCAACUAGUCAGUGUUUGUGCUCGUGUGCUUGGGCACGCCAGUCAACUCGGAGAGCCGUCACCAAGAGUCGGUGAGCUGAUGGGUUCGCCCAUCAGUAGUCUGUUGCAUGGUAUGUGGCAGAGGUUCACACCGAGUGUUAUCAUUGGACUGACUGGCUAGUGCACUUCCUCCGUUUGGGUGGACACCACGACCGGCGGAACUGUCAGUCUGCCUCGACCAGACAGGUUGUGCGUAGCUGUGAAAGCGGUUGCGUGCUCCUGUUAUUCACGGGUACUCGGUGAUAGUCUUGUACUGUUGCCGGGUGCAAACAGGCGACUUGUCGUCUGGUGGGUCUUGGUGGUAUGUAUAACUGUACAGGGCGCCGGAGUUGACGGUCAUAUGCUUUCCGGGGCGUACGAUGCGUUCGAUCAUGUGGUUAUCUGCUGCUCACCGUGUUGCUUGUGCAAACAGGCCCGGUGGGGGGUGACUCUUGUGUCGGGCGUAGUACAUGUGCGCUGGGGAAGUGUUAUAUAGGACCAAUAGUCUGUGGUGCUGUGGUAGACUAGCCACCUGACCCGUCUUGAAACACGGACCAAGGAGUUUAACAUGCGCGCGAGUCAUUGGGCUCUACGAAACCCAAAGGCGUAGUGAAAGUGAAGACCCCUUGUGGGUCACGGUGAGAUCCCGUUGUGUGUUAGCUCCCUGUGCACUGGCGGCGCCAAGCAUGGAGCAGCGGGCGCAUCACCGGCCCGUCCCAUAAUGUGUCUGCUCGGUUGAAGGCGGGCAGGAGAGCGUUCGGAUUUUGGUAUGCGGGGGUUGUUUAGGUCGAUCGGCGUUUCGGCGUGGAUUGGUCUAUUCCGUUCUCGUGUGCUGGGUCCGGAAGGCGCCUGUCCUACGGGCAUGUCAUUGGGGCGGAGCAUGAGCGUGCACGUUGAGACCCGAAAGAUGGUGAACUAUGCUUGCGCAGGUUGAAGCCAGAGGAAACUCUGGUGGAGGACCGCAGCGAUUCUGACGUGCAAAUCGAUCGUCAAACGUGAGUAUAGGGGCGAAAGACUAAUCGAACCAUCUAGUAGCUGGUUCCCUCCGAAGUUUCCCUCAGGAUAGCUGGUGCUCAGUAUCAUGAAACAGUUUUAUCCGGUAAAGCGAAUGAUUAGAGGUACCGGGGACGAAACGACCUCGACCUAUUCUCAAACUAUAAAUGGGUGAGAAGCCUGUCUCACUUAAUUGGAGUCAGGCGUUGAAUGUGAGUACCAAGUGGGCCAUUUUUGGUAAGCAGAACUGGCGCUGUGGGAUGAACCAAACGCUCGGUUAAUGUGCCUAACGCGGACGCUCAUGAGAUACCACAAAAGGUGUUGGUUGAUAUAGACAGCAGGACGGUGGCCAUGGAAGUUGGAAUCCGCUAAGGAGUGUGUAAUAACUCACCUGCCGAAUCAAC